GAAAGCAUCUAUCAAGUGGAAUUCUAUCGAUCAAGGGCGAGAGUAGGAGUAUCCAACCGGAUCAGAGACCCGGGUAGUUCCUACCUCAAACUAUGCCGACGAGGGCUUAUUUUUUAUUUUAGAAGUAGGACCAUUAGAGAAAUCAAUAGUUCAUGGGCUCUGGGGGAACUACGACCGCAAGGCUGAAACUUGAAGGAAUUGACGGAAGGGCACACCAGGGGUAGAGCUUGUGGCUUAAUUUGAAUCAACACGGGGAAACUUACCAGAACCAGAUAUUUUUUAUGACUGAUCAGGAUGAAGUUCUUUCAGGAUAUAAUUUUUGGUGGUGCAUGGCCGCUGGUGGUGCGUGGGUUGACCUGUCUAGCGUUGAUUCAGAUAACGAGCGAGAUUAUUACCAAUUAAAUAAUUAAUAAUAUUUUAAAUAUUAAUAUAAUUUCUAAUUGGGACUCCCUGCGUCUAAGCAGGAGGAAGAGGAUAGCAAUAACAGGUCCGUGAUGUCCUUUAGAUGGUCUGGGCUGCACGCGCGCUACAAUGUUAAAAACAAUAAGAAUAAUUUAAAGCUAAUUUGAAAAGAUC
rnacentral:rRNA from 1 species